rnacentral:rRNA from 1 species
AACGAACGCUGGCGGCAGGCUUAACACAUGCAAGUCGAACGCCCCGCAAGGGGAGUGGCAGCCGGGUGAGUAACGCGUGGGAACAUACCCUUUUCUACGGAAUAGCUCUGGGAAACUGGAAUUAAUACCGUAUACGCCCUACGGGGGAAAGAUUUACCGGGGAAGGAUUGGCCCGCGUUGGAUUAGCUAGUUGGUGGGGUAAAGGCCUACCAAGGCGACGAUCCAUAGCUGGUCUGAGAGGAUGAUCAGCCACAUUGGGACUGAGACACGGCCCAAACUCCUACGGGAGGCAGCAGUGGGGAAUAUUGGACAAUGGGCGCAAGCCUGAUCCAGCCAUGCCGCGUGAGUGAUGAAGGCCUUAGGGUUGUAAAGCUCUUUCACCGAUGAAGAUAAUGACGGUAGUCGGAGAAGAAGCCCCGGCUAACUUCGUG